rnacentral:lncRNA from 1 species
GCUCCGGUGGCACUUGGCUGUCCAGAAGAUGGGUAGGCCCCAGGGCCGCUGGGUGGCCCUGGGUAGACUCCAGGUGCAGGUGCUCCGGGAUAAGCUCCAGGCCAUCCUUGAGGGUUUGGGUUUCCAGACCCAGAUAACGCAUCAUGGAGCUGGAAAGAAAGACAUACACAAUUACGGGACAGAAAGCAUUCUCAAAAGCA